AACGAACGCUGGCGGCGCGCCUAAUACAUGCAAGUCGAGCGAGAAGGUGUAGCAAUACACUUGUAAAGCGGCGAACGGGUGAGGAAUACAUGGGUAAUCUACCAUCGAGUGGGGAAUAACCAACCGAAAGGUUGGCUAAUACCGCGUACGCCUCCGAAUCUUCGGGUUCGGAGGGAAAGCUGCACUGUGAGUGUAGCGCUCUUUGAUGAGCUCAUGUCCUAUCAGCUUGUUGGUAGGGUAACGGCCUACCAAGGCUUUGACGGGUAGCUGGUCUGAGAGGACGAUCAGCCACACUGGCACUGCGACACGGGCCAGACUCCUACGGGAGGCAGCAGUAAGGAAUAUUGCGCAAUGGGCGAAAGCCUGACGCAGCGACGCCGCGUGGGGAUGAAGGUCUGCGGGUUGUAAAGC
rnacentral:rRNA from 1 species